rnacentral:rRNA from 1 species
UACGUAGGUGGCAAGCGUUGUCCGGAAUUAUUUGGGCGUAAAGAGCUCGUAGGCGGCCUGUUGCGUCCGCUGUGAAAUCCCAGGGCUCAACCCUGGGCGUGCAGUGGAUACGGGCAGGCUGGAGGCAGGCAGGGGAGAACGGAAUUCCCGGUGUAGCGGUGAAAUGCGCAGAUAUCGGGAGGAACACCGGUGGCGAAGGCGGUCUCUGGGCCUGUACUGACGCUGAGGAGCGAAAGCGUGGGGAGCGAACAGGG